CAUGGAGAAUGGACAGGAGAAGAUAAGGCCUGGAUGUGGUUUGAGAAGCUGCUGAAUGAUCCAGCACAAUGCCCGUGUGGAUAGAGAACAGGGGGCUGGAUCUGAGAUGCAUUAAUGAGGCAUCUGGGACCUGACAGUAGGGGGCUGUGGCCUCCCUUCCUGCUGCUCAAACACCUGACCUCGGUUGUCCACUGGUCCAGAGGCCACCACACAUCCACUCUGCAACUUGACCCGGAAAGUCUUCAAGGGAGAAGGCUACUAUGGCCGAGCUGGCAACUUCUUCGUAAGGAAACUGUGAAGGGGCUCUUUCUGCGAAGUCUGAGCGUCAAAGUUUCUUUGCCCUUCGCCCCUAGCCUGUCCUUGGCUCAUUUUUGUCUUCCAUUUGCAUCUCGGAGGGCGCGCUGGAGUCAAUUCCCUUCCCACCAUCAGCCACGACCCAGGAUCAUUGGACGUCCUUUUCUCAGCAACAGAGAAAUACUGACCCUCAAACCCACCUGUGAGCCCUCUCUGGCUCCACUGCCACCAUGGCACCUGUGAAAAAGCCUGUGGUGAAGGGCCACAAAAAAGGAAGCAGGUUCUGACGUUCACCCUUGAUGGCACCCACCCUGCAGAAGAUGGGACCAUGCUGCCAAUUUUGAAGAACUAGGAACUUGCCUGUGUCCUGCCCCACUUUGCACAGACAUCCGGGAGGGGCCUGCGGGGUAAGAAGCUGCACCCAGAGGCCCUUCUUGGAAGAAGAAGGUCUUCCAAACCAGGCCUCCCAUGAGGAGAUGUACUUCAAGGAACAACUUAAAGCGGCUGGAUUUCAAACUUUUAAAAACGUAAAAAACUAAUUUUAUUGCUAAUAGGAUAUUUAUAGGGACUGGAAUGUCUUGCAUUAGUCUGGGAGAAGGACUGGUAAGCUCUCCAGAUUCAACUUUAGUGAGGUCACAGGUUCUCUUCCUGGCUGGGGAAGGCUAUGGCACAGUACCUGAGGUCCGUCUCUUAUGUCGGAGGCAGGUGGCAAGCCUGCGAUAUUUGUUGGACAGGUUGACCCAGCGAGCUGUGGUAGACUUCAGUUUCUUGAUUGUAAUUGCCAAGCGUGGAAUUUUGGCACUGGGGCAGCCAAAUUCCUCAUCAGACACCAUGGGAGCCAAAUGUCUCUUUUGAGCCCGUUGUUGGUCAGGAACCUGGCUGGAGAUUGGCUCUUCUGCUUUCAUGUCGGAUGCGGUGGCCAGAGGCCGGUCCCCAAAGGAACGAUAGCCACCAAUUAGGCAGUAGACCUCCCCAUGCCAGGUCAUAUUAGCUUCUCCGUACCUGCGGUAGAGGACGUGGUAGUGCCCAGGGCUGGAGAGGUUCCUGGGAGCCACUGCUACUGGGAAGAAAAACAGAACUGAUCAGUCGCCCAUACUUUACACAGAUGCUGCCAAGACCCGCCCUCUCUCACAGACACCUCUGUUUCUAGAGGAAGUCCUCUUUAACUGGUUGGCAUUGAAAACACAGUGGGUCUAUUUCCUUUCAGGGUCCCCUAAAGGAGGCUGAUGGCUGUAAAGGGAGCUUCCUAGAUGCUGUGGCGAUUUGGAAAUCAAGUCCCCUUUCCCAGAAAAGGCACGAUCACCCCACAAGGAUUGUGGUCAGGCCCCACCUCAGCCCCACUGCCUACAACUACAUGUUCACAGAUGGCCAGUCUCAGCAUUGCUUCCUCCCCUGAGCAUGACUCCUCUGCUCUUCCCAACUCCGGCACCAUCCUUCCUAACUCUCAGUCUGAUAUGUGGCCGAGUGGACGCUCGUGGCUGUGUCAGGACAGUCCAGUAAAGGGGAAGGGUCUGGAGGUGAUCUCUGAGAAAGGCCUUCAAGAACUCUUCCUCAAACUGCUCCGUGGAUCCUUUGCCACCAAAGCGAUGCUUGGUGUUGGCUGAGAGGCUAAUCAGAAAAGGCCUGAAUGGAGGCAUCUUUUAGCCCCAGGGGGAAGUGGCUUGAUAAAUAUUAACACUUCACUUGCCCUGGAACGAAACCUUGCUUCCUGUCAAUAGUGAGUAGGCUGGGGGCUCCUUACCAGAUCAGGGACCCUUGUUACUGCUUACAGGGAACUUCUGAGUUGUGGGCAAAUCCAAAAGGAGAUGGGUGUCAGGGUGGUAAGGCUCUGUCCUUUUAAUACAGAUUCCAAACGUAGGCCUACCUGAUCCGUGGCCUUCCCAGGGGAUCCAGGACAUGUUGGCUUUAAUAUAUAAAAUGCGAUCGCACAUUCUCUCACCAGCAAACUUACGGGCUGCUGUCUUGACGAGAAAUGGUAGUGAAGUUACCCUGAGGGCACUAUGUUUUCCUAGUUACCAUGGACACUGAGUAGCUCUGUGAGGUCAUCACAAACCAGUGAUGUCCCCUAAGGGGUGGGGUGGGGCAGAUAGGUGCCCCGCAUGCAUGGGCUGUCACACCUGACCCUCUGCACUUUGUCCUAGUCAGGUAGCCACUCCCUGUGGUGCUUAGCUGAGGGGCUGGCCCAGGAAAGCAAGAGAAACCCAGACUCUGAGGUAGCCUGAGCGGCAGGCCUGAGCUAAGAAGGGAGAUGGCACUGACCCCCAGCGCCCAGCAGUUCUUGACCUAGUCCUCCUCCAAAUUGAAAUUCAUGGAAUGCUCACAUUUUUACCAGUUGAGACUUGAGGAAACCUGUGGAAUUUCUCCCAAGUUGUCUCCCCAAAAUAUAUGCCAAACCUAAGGCUCCUUGCUACACAUGGUAAAGGACUGUACACUUGGAGGUCAUUGCAAGCAGGUCAGAGGUCAUCCUCCCUAACGGUUAUCAGCCAGCUAGAACAAUCAGACUGUAUAGUCUGUCCCACCCUAAAGUAGGGCCCACUCCCUUCUGAUAAGAAUAGUAGAUUG